rnacentral:lncRNA from 1 species
UGCAAUAUGUUCUAGCUUCUUGCUAGAAAACCUAUUUUUUCCAUUUAACUUUUUCCUGAAAGGGCCCGAAAGAGUGUUAAAUUCUGAUGAACGGCCAAGUCAUUGUGCUUAUACAAGGUUACUGGUGGUUCACAACUUAAAUACAAGAAUCGUACUAGUCAAGCUCUAAGAUUAUAGGUAUACUCUUUCACUUUCUCACUCAUCUAUUUUUAUUUCAGUAAAUGAUCAUUAAUCAGUGAAGAUAGAAAAUGAAAAACACGUUCAUACAUGGUUAACAUUUUUGUAGUGUGUCCAAAUGAUAACCUAUGCAUAACUGGCAACUAAUAAGGCUCCCAAGGUCAUGCUAUGAAAUAUUCCAGAAAAAUAAGGACCAAAAAGGCACAAAGAUAGGGCUGGUAUUCUGGAAGUAUAGAAUACUGCUUCGACAUUCCUAUAGGACAUUCGACUUUUUUUAAUGAUGUCUGUGUCCCCAGACAGCUUGCAUGCUCUCCAACUAAUUCAUCUGGCAGUCUGCUACGGUCCACAAGCAUAAAUGACAUGUAAACAUACACACCAAGGCGGGAGUAAAGUGCGAUCAUGCUAAGUCUAAUAUCUAAGCUCUAACAAUAAUAUAGGAAGAUUAUUCUUCGGUUAAUAAUAAGCUCAAAAAAUUUAACCUAAUACCUGAAAAAACAUACUGGCCGUCUGGUGUAAAGGUUGCCUCCAUUGCUGUUGGGGAAGGAUCCAGAUUAAACCCACACCGCUGCACCAGUAAAAUAGUCAUUUAGUGUUGGAUAAGUCCACAAAACAUCAUGAAAAAUAACACUCGCUCCGUCCCAUUUUAUGUGGCACCUUUCCUUUUUAGUGUUCCCAAAAAGAGUGUCACCUUACUAUAAUUAGAAACAAUUCAACUUUAAUAUUCUCUUUUACCCUUAAUGAAAUGAUUUACAACCACACAAAUAUCAAAGGAUUGUUUUAGACCACAAGUUUCAAAACUCUUCCUUUUUUUCUUAAAGGCCGUGCCAAGUCCAACGGUGCCACAUAAAAUGGGAUGGAAGGAGUAGGAAACAAGAUAAGAAUCUAGAGCAGAAAGGGAAGAAUUCUGAUGGAAAAAUAACCUUCUCUCCUGCAUAGGCGUCAAGCACAUAGAUGCUAUUACUAGUAGUUGUUAAAAGCAUUGAUUUUCCAUCAUUGCUGAAUUUUAUGUCACAAACCUCAGCUGUAUCUCCACCCACUAGGAAGGUUUCAAAGGGCCCCUACAUAUCGCAACAUAAGAAAAAAAUCAUUAUUUGUAAUGCAAAAGGAAGCUGAACUUUAGAGGCACAAACCUUGUCAAAAUGUCUUGAAUCAAACAAUUUGAUGGCACCCCCUUCCAUUGCCACUGCAAAGACGAGGCCUUGUUGGUCAUAAGCAACUGCAGGCCUACCUCUUAGACGCAAAAUCCCCUGAAAACUGCAAGAGUGAGUAGAUAUCACAAGCAUGUGUUUCAUAAGGUAGAAGUUUGACAAGCUAGUACCAACUGCUGGUGUUCUUUACACUAACUUAACACUACAGCACACUGAACCUGAACUUCUAAUAUUUGUGAGAGCUAACAAAUGCUAACAUAACAGCUGAUUAGCAUCCAACCUGCUCAAAAGUAAGUGGGACUAAAGGCAUAGAUAGUGUCUUCACCCCAGUCAUGCAUGCACAAGCAAAUGGCUGUAAUCUGAGGUUAUUUCUGCCACAGUUGCAAUUCUACAAUGUCAAAAAGGUUCCUAGUGAACCUGGGAAUUUUCCCCUAAUCACUGAAGAAUUAAUAUCUGAGAUCAUUAAUUAACAUAUAAGCCCACACUUGAAGAGUAUAGAGGAAUAAGAACUGAUAUUGAACCUAUUUUGUGACUUGCCAAAUUGACUCUGUAAAUACAGUUCUUUCAGAUCAUUGAGUACCUAGUCUGAGUAAUCUAAAAAUAAUAUUCAAAUAAAAUGCAGCUAUGCACCAGCUUGGUUUUCUUUUAAAAACAGUGUUUUUAAAAGCGGUAAGUGCAAAAAAAGCAACAAGGCUUUAAGCAAAGCGCACACUUCAUUAAAUUGAAGCACAGUUUUAAAAGAAUAUCAAAAUAAACAGUGCACUAAUAAGUAAUAAUAUAACUAAAUAAACAAGAGCUAGAAAAAAAUAGUACUCCUCUAUUUCAAUUUGUUUGUCUUACAUUCUUUUUUAGUUUGUUUAAAAAAAACACCACUUUCUAUAUUUAGAAACUCUUUACACUCAGUAUUCUACCUGGCAUGACCACCAGAUUCAAAGGACAUUUUGAUACAUUACACACACCUUUAGACUAAAUCCACAAGAUACAAAAGUCUUCUUUACUUUCUUAAACUCUAUGCCGAGUCAAAUCAGGACAAACAAACUGUAACAGAGGGAGCACCUAUCAGCGAAUCUUUCAAUUUAGAAAGUAGCUUAAUAUCCUCCAUAAGACUAGCAAAAUCAAAACAAUAUUGUUUAGAACUUUUAUUCUUCAUCAAGAUUGUCAAAAUAUUCAUCUUCAACUUCAUCAAUUAGGACUCGUCUUGUAGCUACUUCUUUUCUCUUUCAAGAUAAGUGUUGGUUUUUAAAAGAUAGUGAAACAAAAAAGGUUGAAAGAAUGAUUGAAAUUUUUCUCACUUUAAUUUUAUUUAGCAUGGAAAGCUUUAAAUAACCAACUUGAAAACAAAAAAAAGAAAUUGCACAAAACCUGCAAAAUAAAAUUCAAAAGCCUACAAUAUCUCAACUAAACUCAUCUAACAACAACAACAUACCUAGUGAAACCCAGAAGUGAGGUCUGGAGAGGUAGAAUGUACGCAGACCUUACAACUACCUCGUGGAGGUAGAGAGUGUUGUUUACGAAUAUAAAAGAGACAAUGGAGAGAAUAUAGGAAAUAGCAAGGAACAGUGCAAAAGUAGCCAAAACAACAAUUAAAUCAUGUUAUUAUCGAAACACCAUAAACAACAAUGAUACUGAUUUAAAAAAAAUACAACAGGUACCAUUGUAGACCCCAGUCUACCCUAAGCAAGACAACACUACAAUACCUACUACCAUUCUACCCUGACGCGAGUCCUCCACACCUUCCUAUCUAGGAUCAUGUCCUCGGUAUCCUGAAAUUGUGUCAUAUAUUAUCUUAUCACCUCUCCCUAUUACUUCUUCAGCCUUCCUUUGUCUCUCCCCGUGCCCUCUAUAACCACCUCUCGCACCUCCUCACUGGUGCAUCCAUCCAUCUCUUUUUUACAUGUUCAAACCAUUUCAGUCUCGUUUCCCUCAACUUGUCCACCACAGGAGUCACCCCUACCUUAUUUUGGAUAUCCUUAUUUCUAAUUUUAUCACUCCUAGUAUGACCACACAUCCACUUCAACAUCCUCAUCUCUGCAACAUGCAUCUUAUGGACAUGGGUGUUCUUGACUGACCAACAUUCAACCUCAUACAACAUUGUCGAUCUUACCACCACCCUAUAAAACUUACCUUUGAAUUUCAGUGGUACCUUUUUAUCACACAAGACUCUAGAGGCAAGCCUCCACUUCAUCCGCGCCGCACCAAUACGGUGUGUGAUAUCAUCAUUGUUGUCUCCACUCCUGUAGAUUAUAGACCCAAGAUACUUGAAUUUAUGUCUCUUGGGGAUAUUUUAUGCGUAAAGCCUCACUUCCACGCCUACCUCAUGCAUCAUGUCAUUGAAUUUGCACUCCACAUAUUUUGUCUUAGUCCUGCUCAACCUAAACCCUUAAGCCUCCAAAGUUUGUCUCCACACCUCUAACUUAGCAUUCACUCCAUUGCGCGUCUCAUCAAUUAGUACUAUGUCAUGCACAAAUAUCAACAACAUGGCACCUCAUCUUGAAUGUCUCGCGUCAAUACAUCCAUCACCAAGUAAAAUAUAAAAUAGAAACAGGCUUAAGAGUCUACCCCUGGUGUAAACCCCAUCUCCAUAGGAAAGUGUUAUCACUCCUUAGACAUCCAAUAGUUACAGCAGUAGUUAUUUCUUUUUAGUAGUAGUUACUUUCCUGUAGUUAGGAAGUCAUGUCCUAGUUUCUAGGGGUAGUUAUCUUAUCAGUGUUGUAUUUAAACUAUUUGCUUGUCUCAGGAAAUGCUUGUAAAGUAAUUUCAGUUUUUCAGUACUUUUAACUCAAGAGAUUGCAGGUGCUCUCUAAACGAACAAGCACCAUAGGUCGUAGGAAGAAAACUUCAGAUUUUAUCUUGCACUGUCCCAUAACUAGAUCCAUAACAAGGGACCAUAUCAGAGUCGGGAGUUAUGGGAGACCAAAUUCAACAUCAACUAGCACAAUUGGUGAACUUGUUCCAAGAAGAACGUGCAACCAAUUUGGCCAGACAGGAAGCAAUAAAUGUUUGUUUGGAUGCACUCGCAAAGGAUUUAGAGAAUUCUAAGGUUGAUUCUGAUUCAAAUGAAAAUACAAGUUAGAAUUGUGGUUGGAAGGGAAAAAAUAAAGUGGCAGGAGGGUCAAGAUCAAAAGUAGGAGGAAGUUACAUCAUUCCUCGACAUACAAAGUUGGAUUUCCCACGAUUUAAUGGCCAAGAGGACUCUUUGGGAUUGUUGAACAGAUGUGAACACUUCGUUCGACACCAACAAACUCUAGAAGAAAAAAAGGUUGGACUUGCUUCUUUUCAUUUAGAAGGGAAUGCACAACUUUGGUUUCUUCAAUGAGAGAUAGAUAUGUCUCAACCAUCUUGGGAUGAAUUCAAACAUCAAUAUAACUUUCGUUUUGGGCCACCAAUCAGAAGUCAGAAAUUGGGAGAAUUGGCUACGUUAUGCCAGAUCGGGUCUGUGGCAGAUUACCAAGAAAAGUUUGAGCAGUUAAUUCGCGGGCUGGUACACUCACUCAGUCGCAAAUGAUUGAACUUUAUAUCAACGGUCUUGUUCGCAAUUGUUAGAUGCUUGCAAAUCCAAGACAGCAGAUUUCUCACCUCAACAACAAGCCUGAUUUGUGAAGAAACUGACCAGAUUUGAAAUGGACGAUAGGCGACUUCAGGGACUUUGUUUCAAUUGUGAUGAACCAUUCACCCAAGGUCAUCAAUGCAAGAAAUUAUUCUGGAUUGACUUUAUAGAUGAUGAGGAAGAGUUUGCUUGAUUGGAGAGAAAUAUUAAUACAUUUCGCACUUAGUGCUUGAGGACAAGCACGAUUUGAAGGAGGAAAGUAUUGUUAUCACUCCUUAGUCAUCCAAUAGUUAUAGCAGUAGUUAUUUCUUUUUAGUAGUAGUUAUUUUCCUGUAGUAAUGCAGUUUUUCAUUUCAGUAAUGUUAGGAAGUCAUGUCGUAGUUUCUAGGGGUAGUUAUCUUAUAAGUGUUGUAUUUUAACUAUCUGUUUGUCUCAGGAAACGGAAGAAGAAAAGUAGUUUCAGUUUUUGAGUACUUUAACUCAAGAGAUUGCAGGUUCUCUCUUAACCAACCAGCACCAUAGGUCGUAGGAAGAAAACUUCAAAUUUUAUCUUGCAGUGUCCCAUAACUAGAUCCAUAACGGGAGACCAUAACAGAAAGUGCUCCGAGUUUCCUCCCACCAUUCUUACUUGCGUUUAGCUCCUUUGUACAUGUCCUUUAUCACCCUAAUGUAGGCUACUGAUACACCUCUUGCCUCCAAAUCAUCUAACUAAAUUUAAAUUUAAACAAAGACUCCUCUUACCACCAAACUACUUUAAGUAUCAACUCUUUUGAAAAUUGAAAGAUUUGCUAAUAGAUACAAUAUUUUUUUGAGCUCUUGUUUAUCUAGUUUCCUUUUAUUUGUUCUAUAUUCAUUUUGAUAUUCUUUUAAAAUUACGCUUGAAGUGAAGCGUGCACUUUGCUUCCUACUUUAAGCUCUAGGACCCUUGUCAUUUUUGUAUUUAUUGCUUCUGAAAACACUAUUGCAAAGUCCAUAAGUGGGAACCACAAUUACACAUGCCAAGUUUAGUUCACAGAGAGAACAACUCAACCUUAAUAAAUGUAAGUGGUUUCCGGUUCUACAAAAGAUUGUCCUAAUUUCCUCAACUUGUCCAAAAGCGGUUAAACCUACUUCUAAGUUAUUUUUCGCUUUUGAGAGUGUUUGACAAAGUUAAAAAUAACUUAAAAUAAGUUUAAAAUGACUCUUUAUAAAGUUAAAAGUAGGUACUCCCCUACUUUUCAUUUUUUAACUUAAAAGUUACUUAAGUUUGACUUUUUAAAAACUACUUUUACAAAGCUACUUUUUUUAAAGUUAAGCCAAACAGGCUCUAAGACAAGUCAAUAAAUCUUUGAUAAUUGAAGACUAGGUUCAUUCCAUAAAAAUGUGAUACCAACCUGGCAUGCAUUUACGCGAAGAUCCCAUAUUCUCACACUAUGGUCAAGAGAUCCAGACAAAAAGCUGUCAUUAACCGGAGACAUGCACAGUGAUACAACCCUGCAUCCAAAUCAGAGUAACAGAUUUAAAGAUAAUCAUUAUGUCAAAAUCAAGUGGUAAGAAGAGGGACAAAAGGAAAAGAAUAAUGUCAACGGAUGACUGUUACUAUACAUAAAAUAAACCUAAAAUGUCACCCAUUAAAUUUCUGUUAUGUUUGUUUUGUAGGACAUUUCGUCCUUAACCUUGGAUUCAUUUCUCUUCUACCUUAUAACAACUAUUAUUUCUAUUGGGAGAGAACAUACAUAAACCUCCAUAACAUCUUUUUAAAUCCAAAAGAAAUUAUUUGAAAACAAAUGCGCAUAUUAAAUCAGUAUAUCAAGCAUUCUAGGCACGUGUACAACCAUUUCAGAUGCUUUUACAUAGUAAGCACUCGUAAGAAAAUCAGGUAGGCCAUUAUCUAUCCCCAUAUUUCUACAGAAAACACACAUUGUUCUAAUUAUUACUGAGAAAAAUACCAAGAAAAAAGCACCUACCUCUCUUUAUGUCCCUUAAAGUAACGAAGACAUCGAUUAUCGUACAUGGAUAGGUACCGCAAAGACUCUGGCAGCAGACACAAAGCAACAUGUAAACUAUCCUUUCAUGUAAUUCAAAAUCAGAAGUUGGUUCAAGGAGAAUCACCUCCAUGCACAUCCAAGUUGUGUAUUGAAGAGCAUAUAACAGAAUGAGGGUGGUGGGUAAAGCAUAUUCGAUCAGCUCCAUGCUUCUUAUGAUAUGUAGUCUUCAGCAACCUGAAGGUCAAAAAGAACUUGAUAGGAACUACAUAUUCUGGUCUAGUUAAGAUAGCUCAUAGAGACAUUAGUUGCAGUAUGCAAAAGUUAAAACUUGCUUAAGGACCAAACAGAAUCAUGUCUUGAAUCAGUCUAAAACCUAAGGGGUCGUUUGGUAGGAUUCAUAAGAAUAGUGUUGAAUACGGUGUAUUAGUAAUGCUGAUAUUUAUGCUUGCAAUAGUUAUGCUAAGAUUAUUUAUUAUGCAGUGUCUGAUUUGGUGUAUCAAAAACAAUAUGCAUUGCAUAAUUUCUAAAAGAAAAUUAUCUGCUUACAAAAAUACCCUUCAUAAACAGAGGAAAGGAUGUGGAAAAGGCUUUGAGGGGCAAAUGUGUCUUUAACCAUGCUAAUACAUUCAUUCCCAUGUAUUAGUUAUACUUAGCAUAAUACCGAAUACGACUGUAUAACUAAUGUAGGUUAAAAAAGUGUACAGAACAAAGUAUUAGCAAUGAAUGCAUUGACUGUAUAACUAAUGUAGGUUGAAAAAGUGUACAGAACAAAGUAUUAGCAAUGAAUGCAUUGACUGUAUAACUAAUGUAGGUUGAAAAAGUGUACAGAACAAAGUAUUAGCAAUGAAUGCAUUGACUGUAUAACUAAUGUAGGUUGAAAAAGUGUACAGAACAAAGUAUUAGUAGUAAACAAGCCUAAUGCAUACAUUAUUUUUUCUAAACCAUCCUACAAAACAACCCCUAAGUUGUAUAAAAGAUUUCAAAAUGGAAAAAUACGCACAAGGUAAUUAUAUAUUCCCCAACCUAAUAGUAUUUUUGUCAAACGUGGAACUAGUAUGAUUCCAUCAUUGACAGACUUUCCUAUAAUGAUGGACAAUGAAGAUAAUCUGGAAAUGAAUUUGAACCAGUAAUUUAACUGCUCCUUGGUACAUUAAUUUUUAGAACUGAGAAAUACCCUAGAUCCAAUGGCACCGGGUUUGAAACUCGGUGUAUAAUGGGUUUGCCCCUUAGAACCUUCUCCAUUUAAUACUAAACUUCUGUCUAAGGUAAGGUCGAACCUGUGAAAUGUGCCUAACCAACACAUCACACGAUGCGCUGUUACCACUGGACCAAAGGCCUGGGAACAUUUCCUUGGUACAUAAUCAACAAUUAAAAUGAAUCAGUCGCAGUCAAGACGACACCAAUAGAUCGCUCCAGCCCAAAAAUAUUUAGAGUCAAGCUUCUUAACAUAGCUUAAAUAUUCAUGUCAAAGUUGCUUUUCAUGCUUAAGAGCCCUGUAGACAGGAGUUCUGUAACUUCCCAAAUAGUCGCAUAUAGGCCUACCAUGGUAAAGUCAUUGAACUCUUUUUUGAUAUAAUGGCCACCUUUGGAAGUGAAGUUCUUAGUUUGCCAUACUAAUCAACCAAUGGCGCAGUUCCAGAAUGAUUGAAACUUCUUCAGCCACUUUUUUUCUAUAACAUUUAGGUUUUUCUAUGGAAUGGCUGCUGCAGCCUAAUGCAGUCCUCCUGUGAACCUAUAACUUUUUAAAAGCUCUUCUACUAUAAGUUCUUCACAUUUUUAAGCCCACGUAGUAACAUCUUAUAUUGAUUGAAGGAUUGCUUUCAGAAUACAUGAGGCUUUUUGAAAAUACAUAAUCACAGAGAAAAAGACAACUAUAGGAACUACAAACUCAUAAUACCAGAUGAUUACAUAAUCUGUGCAUAUACUCUUUAUAUAUGAAAAAUACACUAACUUCAAAAAUAUUAGUUUUAAACUGCACAAAAUCAACUAAUUUAUACUCACUCCAUGCCAAUUUACGAGACAGAGAUCGAAUUGGCACGGAGUUUAAGAAAGAUUCAGAUUUUUGAAACUUGUGGGCAGAAAUAUGUCAUAGAAAUUGUGUGGCUAUAAAAUUGUUGAAACUUGUGGCGUUAAACAAGCCAUGGUAUUUGUGAGGUUAUAAAAGCUUCUCAAGGAAAAAUGGGAAGUAGAAAGUUAAUUGUUUCCAAAUUUAGAAUUGUCUCAUUCUUUUUGAAUGAACUAAAACCGAAAGUGUGUAACAAAAAUUUGAACGGAGGGAGUAGUACUUAAAAACAUGAAGUCAGUGCCAGAAUUUGCAAGCUGGAAGAAUAUGAUGUUGACAGAACCUGAUAAGCCCAAAAAAUGGGUAAUGAUCUGAUGGAGAUUUACAAGUCGUUAAAUAAAGGAGACAAAAGACAAUACUGAAGGUUUGCACCCUGGUUAUGAUCUGAACAAUAACAUAUUCAAGGAUUGUUGCUAUGCUUUUUCUUAUUAUAGUCCUGUUCUGUUAAACGAAUUCCAAUCUCAGAUGACACUAUAAACAUCAUAUUUUGAUAGAUGAUGGAUGAUGUUUAAUCUACUAAUUUGGCAUGAAUCAUGACCUGACACAAUAAUGUAAGUGGACAAUACAUAGGAAAAUUACACGAAGAGCUUUUCUUGCAAGCUUGUUUCAAGAACUUACUUCCCAUUGGCAAUGUCAAAAAGUCGAAUUGAGUCAUCCUCACUAGCGGUUAUCAGUAAAUCUUCUGUCCGAUGAAAAUCAAGUGAGUUUAUCUGCCCACCCUAAAAAAAAAGAGAUAUGCCCAGGUAAAAGCAAGGUUGCCGUAGAUCCAAAGCUAAAAUUAAUAGAUUGAAACAGCGAUAAAAAAUAUAUGUAUCCUGAUAAAGCAUUACAUUAUCGAUAAGAACGUCUCACAGGAUGCAGAAUUUCUAGUAAAGCUACAAGAUAACGGUCAAAAAAAAGAAAAGGUCAAGAAAGAUUAAAAGAAUGAUGUUGCAUAAAAGAGCAUGAAUGUGUAGGGUGAGCUCAAAAGUAUAGAUCUGUCCCUAGGUUUGCUUACAAUUAGUCAUCAUUAAUCUUGUCUAUCCACAUUAUGAUAAAGGGUUUCUUUGAUCGCAUAUCGAAAGUAGAAAGCAUCAUUGAUUUCAUCUUCAACUAGCUAUUUUGCAUUUAAACUGCAGUUAAACAAAUGCAUUAAGGAGAGGGGGCUGGUAGACAUAGGACCAAGUAAACCAAAUUCCUAUGUCCUCUUCUUUGCUUUGCUGUUAUCCUGAAUGCAUCUUAGUUCUUCUUUCUUCAAUCAUUUUUAGUAUGCUAUUUUUCUGAGUCCUAGAACUACUUUGACCACAUAUGAAUCAUUUACAUUAUGGAAGGCGGAAGGUAAAUGUUACAUAGCAGCAACAGCAGUAUAAUAUGGUGUUAGAUUAUCACUAAAACUAUGCUAUUUCAAAGACAUAUUUGGUAUCACAAGAAGUACUAAAGUUUUCUCUAAAAGAUAAAAUACCUAAACAGCUACCGCAAAUGGCACAUUGAUAUUAAAAAUUACAAAUUAUAGGAUGUGAUAUAUUUAACAAGGACUCAUCUUAAUCUAGAAUAUACCAAAAACAAUGACCCUAAUCCAUCUAUCAUCUAAAACUCAAAUUCCAUUGGGUAAAGAUGUUACUUCAAUAAAAAUCAGUUGUGAUGGCCCCCAAGGGGAUCGAUCGCCUAAGAGUUUCAGUCAAAAAUUCACAUGUAUCAAGUCUUUCAUUCUCCAAAAGAGGGCUCAAUUAUUUAUUUAGUUGUUCAUUCCUUGUGUUUAAGCAGAUGUACUCAACGGAACCGAACCCAAC